UGCUCUCCUCCCUCCCUGCACCUUGAUAUUACUGAGCUUCAUUGAUCAAAUGGUAGAGAAACAAUCCACGCAAACAGUUGGGGAAAUAAUGUUAUCUUAAGUAGAAACGAACAAAAUUUUCUCUUUAAAGAGACAGCUGGCAUAAUAAGAGAAUAUAAGUGUUUAAGAGCUAAUUGGAUCUGACACAUUUAAAUGAAAGAGCUUUGCCCACAAACUGAUGACUUUCUUAAUUAGAUAGAAGCCAUUUUGUGUGAUUUGAUUUAAAAGUAAGUUUUUUUUUCCCUUACAAAAGUAGUUUGUUCUUUCCUGAGGUUAACAGAGGGAGCAGAAACAAUUAGAAAAUGAGUUUAGAAUGUCUUUGAUGAUAAUACUGUUUAAAUGACUUUUACAUUUUGUCUACAGAAAAUCAGUCAAUGCAAGACCAGGCAUCUGUAUUGGAAGGUGAAUUAGUUACAGAAUGUAUAUUUGGAAAUCUUCGAAUCAUUGAAUAUAAUUAAUGAAUGGACAUUCACAAUUAUGCAUGUGAACUUCAAAGCAAUGAUAUCCUAAAUCUGACCAGUAUCAUUUUUAAAAUUUGGCUUCUUAAUUGAAUCAAAUCUUAGAACUGAUGAAAUUAACAUAGUGACACAAAUGAUUUUGAAUCAUAAAAGUUGUAUAUUGGAUGU
rnacentral:lncRNA from 1 species